rnacentral:rRNA from 1 species
AUUGAACGCUGGCGGCAGGCCUAACACAUGCAAGUCGAGCGGAGCGGCGGACGGGUGAGUAAUGCCUAGUAAUCUGCCUGGUAGUGGGGGAUAACGUCCGGAAACGGGCGCUAAUACCGCAUACUCUCAGAUGAGCCUAGGUCGGCUUAGCUAGUUGGUGGGGUAAAGGCCUACCAAGGUGACGAUCCGUAACUGCUCUGAGAGGAUGAUCCGUAACACUGGAACUGAGACACGGGCCAGACUCCUACGGGAGGCAGCAGUGGGGAAUAUUGGACAAUGGGCGAAAGCCUGAUCCAGCCAUGCCGCGUGUGUGAAGAAGGUCUUCGGAUUGUAAAGCACUUUAAGUUGGGAGGCGGUACCAACAGAAUAAGCACCGGCUAACUUCGUGCCAGCCGCCGCGGUAAUAC